AAGGUAUAACAUUGUCGUCUUUGGAGGUGUAGAUGGAUUCUCCAGGAAGAUUUUGUAUCUGGACACAGCAGCAAACAACAAAGCAUCAACUGCUUUUGGAUUCUUCAUGGAGAGUGUUCAGAGAAAUGGAUGGCCCUCAAGAGUGAGAGCUGAUCAAGGGGUGGAAAAUGUCGACAUUGCCAGGUGUAUGUUUACUGUCCGAGGAACAGGCCGUGGAAGCUUUAUAGCAGGCAAAAGUGUCCAUAA